AGAGGCAGGUGGAUCUCUGUGAGUUCGAGGCCAGCCUGGUCUACAGAGUGAGUUCCAGGACAGCCAGGGCUACACAGAGAAACCCUGUCUC
rnacentral:miRNA from 1 species